GCAGCCGCCGCGGGAAUACGUAGGGUGCAAGCGUUGUCCGGAAUUACUGGGCGUAAAGCGUGCGUAGGCGGUUCGUUAAGUCUGUUGUGAAAGCCCCGGGCUCAACCUGGGAAUGGCAAUGGAUACUGGCGAGCUAGAGUGUGUCAGAGGAUGGUGGAAUUCCCGGUGUAGCGGUGAAAUGCGUAGAGAUCGGGAGGAACAUCAGUGGCGAAGGCGGCCAUCUGGGACAACACUGACGCUGAGGCACGAAAGCGUGGGGAGCAAACAGGAUUAGAUACCCCCGUAGUCCCUGUCUCUUAUAA
rnacentral:rRNA from 1 species